AUUGAACGCUGGCGGCAGGCCUAACACAUGCAAGUCGAGCGGCAGCGGAAAGUAGCUUGCUACUUUGCCGGCGAGCGGCGGAUGGGUGAGUAAUGUCUGGGAAACUGCCUGAUGGAGGGGGAUAACUACUGGAAACGGUAGCUAAUACCGCAUAACGUCGCAAGACCAAAGAGGGGGACCUUCGGGCCUCUUGCCAUCAGAUGUGCCCAGAUGGGAUUAGCUAGUAGGUGGGGUAACGGCUCACCUAGGCGACGAUCCCUAGCUGGUCUGAGAGGAUGAACAGCCACACUGGAACUGAGACACGGUCCAGACUCCUACGGGAGGCAGCAGUGGGGAAUAUUGCACAAUGGGCGCAAGCCUGAUGCAGCCAUGCCGCGUGUAUGAAGAAGGCCUUCGGGUUGUAAAGUACUUUCAGCGGGGAGGAGGGUGUUGAGGUUAAUAACCUCAGCAAUUGACGUUACCCGCAGAAGAAGCACCGGCUAACUCCGUGCCAGCCGCCGCCGUAACAC
rnacentral:rRNA from 1 species